UGCUGCGUGUCAACAUUUCUCUUUUCACUCUCUUCUACUAGGAGUGUAGGGUUUAGAAAAUCUCAGGCAUCCAAACCGUUAACUGAUUUUAAGAUCCAAUUUGAGAACAAUUUGGGGAAAAAAAGUAGGCGAAGAAAUGGAAUCGUCCGAUCGCACAGCUCUGGAGAACCGUCCCGGCAUCUUCAUGAUCGGAUCCUCCAACGUUGGCAAACGCACUCUUCUCUCUCGUAACUCUCUCUCUCUCUCAAUUAUUUGUCGACUGACGGAGAUUCAUACAUCCAAAGGAAGCUCCUUUCAUUGACAGCUUUGAGAAUUCUUUAUCAUUUGCCCCAAAUUAUGUUUCUUUCUUUUUAAUUGCAUGCUUUAAGUGAUAAACUUGGCUGUUUUUUAUUUAAAUCCAAAAAAUUCAUUUGGAAUUAUGGUUAAUGUGGGAUACAGUUGCAACUUAUUUUUAAUUUUGUCGCUAAAUCGUGAUAUAAUUGCUUAAGAACUUAAUAAUCUGCAAGAAAUCCUGUAACUUUAGCAGUUUAAAUUGUGUUCUGGUUGUAGGAUUACUGUCGGUGGAUUUUGAAGAUGCUUCCGAUUCAUCAUUUGAAGUACUCGCCCAUGGGUGGACUAUCAAUACAAAGUACUACACAGCUGAUGUUUCUGUAUGGAUGGUUCAUCUUCAUGACGAAUUCUCCGUCAGGACCCUCCCAAUUUAUAGCCGCCUGGCUGCCUUAGUGAUGGUCUUUGACAUGAGUGAUUUAUCAUCUCUCAUUGCACUUCAGAAUUGGGUGUCUCAGAUUGAUAUUCAGAAGUUUGAAAUAUUAUUAUGUAUUGGAAACAAAGUGGAUCUCAUUCCGGGUCAUCCAGUUCAUGCUGAAUACAGAAGACGCCUAGAGAAACUUGAAGAUUCUUCUGCUGAUUCUCUUACAAAAUUCUAUGAGUUUGGGAUUUCUGAAACUGAAGGAAGUAGUCUUUUGGGUGGUGAGGAUCCUGCGGUGGAGAUCAAGAAGUCAUGUCUUGAAUGGUGCACUGAGUAUAACAUUGAGUACAUUGAAGCGUGUGCCUCCAAUGCUGAUUUUGACAGAUGUUUAUCAACUGAUGGUGAUUCACAAGGAGUUGAACGUCUCUUUGGUGCUCUUUCUGCUCAUAUGUGGCCUGGAAUGAUCCUAAAAUCUGGGAAGAGCAUAAUUCUGCCAGCAUUGCCUAAUAAAGAAGACUUGUCAGAAGAAGAAUCUGAUUAUGAAUUCGAGUAUGAACUUCUGUCUGUCAGUUCAGCCGAACCAUGGGAUGACACAAAUGGAGGAUGGGUUUCUGCAAAUGGUUGUAGUUCUGUAUUGGAUAUAGGGGGAUCAGUAGAUCAUAAUAAUCAUACUACAGAACAUGAUCGAGAUAAUUGGGUAAAGUUUGACAAUGAAGAGCUACAGCCCUCAACAUCAAUGGUGGAAUUGCAGGAUGAUAAGGAAGUGGUGCCCAAAGUAGCAGAUCCUAACAAAGACACAGAAACAUAUGAGGUUACACCUUUUGAAUUUGAGGACAUAGAGCAGUUAAUGUCUGAGAUUGGAAAUAUGCGUGACAAUUUGAGGUUUAUGCCUGAUUUUCAAAGGAGAGAAAUGGCUGCAGAACUGGCCAUGAAAAUGGCUACCAUGUUUGGUGGUGGUAGUGAUGAUGAAGAGGAGUUUGAUUGAUCAAAUGGAAAUCAAAGACAGUCUUUAGAGUAAUUAGCUUUUUCUUUAUAGCCCUCAAAACCCAUUGUUAACGAUUUUAGAUGUUGAUGAUAAGUUCAAUCUUCAACCAGGACGAAAGGGAUGAGCUUUUGGAAAUUGUAUGUUAUGUUUGCUCACUUCUUCAGCUUUAGUGCAAGUGGCUGAUGAGGAAUGACUCCGCAUUGUUUUAUGCGCUAUCAUUUGCACUUGAGAUACCGUUGGGCAAAACUUGAAUAUAUGUUGUAACAGUGGAAAUGUUGGAUAUGCUUGUAGCCGUUUUUGCAUAUGGGAACACAUUUGUUAUGCUCCUUUUUGUUUACAUGUUAAUAAAAUAACUGACAAUGCACUGCAUUAGCUGCAGCCUAGCGAACGUGAUACUGGAUUGCUUUUACAGGCUUGCUUAUAAAUUAUAAUGCCUAACAGGAUGAUAUUUAUAAUUCAGUGGGAUAUUGGGUACUUUUCAGGUUGAACUUUUUGGACUGAAUAAAGAUAGCGGAAGUAAUUGAUUUCUGGUAUCUUGGGUUUACAUUUGCUUAUCUUACCUAGAGUAGGAUUGAUUAUAUUAAGGAUGCACUUUAGCUUGGAAGUUGUUUGGAAAAAGAAAUGACACAACUUGACAAGAGUCUACUUGAAAAGGAUUGGGAGAGAUCCCCAUUCUGUUGAUAAAGCAAAUUAGGCCAGCCCGAACUUCCUCCCCGACAUUACCAGAAAUGGAUAAUCGUAGUAGUAUACCUAUUCGUAGAGGCACCUUCCGGACCAAGGCAAUAGCAAACUCGCCCCACUUCCACUAGAAGUUAUUCUGUAUAGGACAAACGCCAGUCACGAUCGUCAUUGUCCACCGUACCACUUCCGUCCGCAAUCUGCGAUUUUUUUAUGCAUGCGGAGGAGAUGAAUACCGGAGAGUGAGGGGUCUGAAAGAGAAUACCGUAUUAUUGGCGAAAGGGAGCCCUCCCAGAGAUAGAUACUUGAUCUUAGAGGAUUCACAUGUUCAAUAGUGGAAACUUAAGGAACCGGCUAAGAGUGACUAAACGGACAAAACCUAUUCAUUCCAUAGCCUCAUCUGGUCGAGGCAUUAAACAAUCCAUUCCAAUCCUCUUUCCUUUGGUCUCCUCUAAGGAUGUGCCUGUUGGUUGAAUCUAUCUUUAUACCGACGAUUUAGAUGGGGAUUGCCAACGAUAAGGAGAUUUUUCCUCUGAUGAGCUCAAAAGUGAAUGAAGACAAGGGCAAGCACCAAUUCAUUUGCUCAUGGGAGAGUGAAGAAUGAGAUUUCUACCAAUAUGGGCCCACUAGGCUCAAGACUUUAGGUUCAAGGCUAAGAAAAAAAAAAAAGAGUGUCGUGACAAAAACAUCUAGACUUUACACCGGCCAAUGCUGCAUGAAAGAAAGCAGUCUACUAGACCCGACAGAGUAGAAUAAUAGAUAGCAAAAAAAAGCAAGCCACCUCUGUUUGAUCACCCGAAGGAAGUAUUCAAUCCCAGUCGGGCCAGGAGGAGGAAUUUUUCUAUUCUAGCGCAAGACACUUCGCCAAAAGAAAACAAAAAACAAGGUCACUAGGAAGCACUCAGUUUCGCAGACAAAGCUCGUCCUGCACUUGACUGAUGAGCUCGUGGAGUCAAAAAUUGUGUAAUUGAUUGAACUGAAAGGAAAGCAAACAUUCUGCUUCAUCCAAUAUCAGAUGUUGUGUUGUUCUUGAAUGAUUUUCCG
rnacentral:misc_RNA from 1 species